rnacentral:lncRNA from 1 species
AGUUUUUGGAACCUACACAGAUGUGACACCUCGGCAGUUCUUCAAUGUUCAGCUGGACACAGAGUAUAGAAAAAAAUGGGAUGCCCUGGUAAUCAAGCUGGAGGUGAUUGAGAGGGAUGUGGUUAGUGGUUCCGAGGUUCUUCACUGGGUAACCCAUUUUCCUGUGAGUAUUUUUACUUCUGAUUUUAUUUCUGUCCAGGUUUGUGUGAUGCAGAACACUAAUCCUGCUCCUCCAUUUCUUUAGUAUCCAAUGUACUCACGGGAUUAUGUUUAU